GCUGGCGGCACGCCUAACACAUGCAAGUCGAACGAAGUAGCAAUACUUAGUGGCAGACGGGUGAGUAACAUGUGGGUAUCUGCCCUAUGGCCUGGAAUAACACGAGGAAACUUGUGCUAAUACCGGAUAAGUCUUUACAGAGAAAGCUUUAUGCACCAUUGGAUGAGCCCGCACUUGAUUAGUUUGUUGGUGGGGUAAUGGCCUACCAAGACUGUGAUCAAUAGCUGAUUUGAGAGGAUGAUCAGCCACAUUGGGACUGAGACACGGCCCAAACUCCUACGGGAGGCAGCAGUGGGGAAUCUUGCACAAUGGAGGAAACUCUGAUGCAGCGAUGCCGCGUGAGUGAAGAAGGCCCUUGGGUUGUAAAGCUCUUUCGUCGGGGAAGAAAAUGACUGUACCCGAAUAAGAAGGUCCGGCUAACUUCGUGCCAGCAGCCGCGGUAAUACGAAGGGACCUAGCGUAGUUCGGAAUUACUGGGCUUAAAGAGUUCGUAGGUGGUUGAAAAAGUUGGUGGUGAAAUCCCAGAGCUUAACUCUGGAACUGCCAUCAAAACUUUUCAGCUAGAGUAUGAUAGAGGAAAGCAGAAUUUCUAGUGUAGAGGUGAAAUUCGUAGAUAUUAGAAAGAAUACCAAUUGCGAAGGCAGCUUUCUGGAUCAUUACUGACACUGAGGAACGAAAGCAUGGGUAGCGAAGAGGAUUAGAUACCCUCGUAGUCCAUGCCGUAAACGAUGUGUGUUAGACGUUGGAAAUUUAUUUUCAGUGUCGCAGCGAAAGCGAUAAACACACCGCCUGGGGAGUACGACC
rnacentral:rRNA from 1 species